rnacentral:rRNA from 1 species
GACGAACGCUGGCGGCGUGCUUAACACAUGCAAGUCGAACGGAAAGGCCCGGCUUUUGUGGGGUGCUCGAGGGGCGAACGGGUGAGUAACACGUGAGUAACCUGCCCUUGACUGUGGGAUAACUUCAGGAAACUGGGGCUAACACCGGAUAGGAGCUCCUGCUGCAGGGUGGGGGUGGGAAAGUUUCGGCGGUUGGGGAUGGACUCGCGGCUUAUCAGCUUGUUGGUGGGGUAGUGGCUUACCAAGGCUUUGACGGGUAGCCGGCCUGAGAGGGUGACCGGCCACACUGGGACUGAGAUACGGCCCAGACUCCUACGGGAGGCAGCAGUGGGGGAUAUUGCACAAUGGGCGGAAGCCUGAUGCAGCAACGCCGCGUGCGGGAUGACGGCCUUCGGGUUGUAAACCGCUUUCGCCUGUGACGAAGCGUGAGUGACGGUAAUGGGUAAAGAAGCACCGGCUAACUACGUG